CGUCGUGCGUCGUGAUGUCGAGUGCUCGUCCCAACAAUACCUACGACCGAACGGUGGUGCGUUUUGCAUUCCUCAUCUUCCCGCUGGUACACGAGCUCUCACAGUCGCUUGCACAUCCACCGGGUCAACUUAGGCGCGACCGCCAGGCACUUGAAAUAUUUUCUGCCUCGGAUUGCUCUACCUCAGCUCUACCAUAAAUUUUAUAGCAGCAGGAACACACUGGGACGUCGCGUCGACUCGCCUUGAAAGAUUCGAGUUCCACGAGGGCUCUUCGCGUAGCAGAGGACCUGCGGAGGACUCGACUGUCGGAUCUCGCGGGAAUUCAACUCGCGCGGCACGUCUUUGGGAUCGAUCGAUCUCGCCCACCGCUCAUGAUGUCACGUUGCAACCGUCGGUUUACCAAUAGAUACCAGAAGAAAUGCUAUAGGAGACCAAGCGAGAGAUUUACAGAGACACGUGCGAUAAUCUUCGUUCACUGGUCAGGACUGGUCAGAAUUUUUCUUUUAAUACGCUAAAGAGAAUUUUGAAAAUGCUUCAAUACGUAUGCGACAUCUGCUGAACUGCUGAAGAUUGAAAGGAUGGGUACAAGAUAAAAGGGAAAAAUUAUAAACAGUGCAGUCAAUGUGGUCACUGGAACUAUACGCGCCGCUAUAACUUAGAGCAAAAGGUAGUAGUUAGCAGCAGCAGCAGCAGUAUUUCCCUGUCACUGGCAGUGACCCAUAUGCUCUGUCCAUAAAGGGUACGUGUAUAAAGCCGCCAUGAGCACUGAACGCGUUGGACACGUGUGUCGGUGCAGAUGCGUUCUCUCGAAUCAUACGGACGUCCGAUGCCCGUGGAUACUAUCGGACGAGAAAGCCAACGCAUCGCAAAUGACGAAAGGCUGAUGGGCUAGAUUAUUGCUACCAGAUUAUACGGUUUCCAACGAGAACUCAUGUUGUCGCACGUGUACGCUACAAUCGACGAUAUCGACCUGUCCACACUCAUGAAUUGCAAUUUAUGAUUAAUUUGUGCGCCGCAAGAUACCGCUUGUCUGAAAAGCAUGUUGUUACUAUACAAAACGUGAUUUGUGAAAAAUAAUAAAUCAAAAAUUUUUGACGCAAAUAAAAAUGUUUAUA